AGACAGCUAGGAUGUUGGCUUGGAAGCAGCCAUUCAUUUAAAGAGUGCGUAACAGCUCACUGGUCGAGCGACAGGGCAUCGAUGAUGAUCGGGCAUUAAGUAUAGUACCGAAGCUAAGGCAGUGUAUUUAUAUACUGGGUAGGGGAGCAUUCUAUUUGCGGUGAAGGUGUCUGGUAAUGGAUGCUGGAGCGUAUAGAAAAGCAAAUGUAGGCAUAAGUAACGAUAAGGCGGGUGAGAAACCCGCCCACCGAUAGACUAAGGAUUCCUGAUCAACGCUAAUCGGAUCAGGGUUAGUCGGGACCUAAGGCGAACCCGAAAGGGGUAGUCGAUGGACAAUUGGUUAAUAUUCCAAUACUACCGUAUUCAGCGAUGGGGUGACGGAGUAGUGAAAGUCCCGCGCACUGACGGAAUAGUGCGUUAAAGGGUGUAGGUAUACAGACCGUAGGCAAAUCCGCGGACUGUGCUGAACCUGAUAGUACCACAAUGCUUCGGCAGCGUGGAUAGUGGACCUAAUCAGACUUCCAAGAAAAACCUCUAAGCAUAUGGAUAUGGUACCCGUACCGUAAACCGACACAGGUAGUCAAGGAGAGAAUCCUAAGGUGCUCGAGUGAUUCAUGGCUAAGGAACUAGGCAAAAUGGCCCUGUAACUUCGGGAGAAGGGGCGCCUCCUCAUGCUUGCAUGAGAGGCCGCAGUGAAUAGGCCCAGGCGACUGUUUAGCAAAAACACAUGGCUUUGCGAAAUCGAAAGAUAAAGUAUAAGGCCUGACACCUGCCCGGUGCUGGAAGGUUAAGGGGGGAUGUUAUCCGUAAGGAGAAGCAUUGAACUGAAGCCCCAGUAAACGGCGGCCGUAACUAUAACGGUCCUAAGGUAGCGAAAUUCCUUGUCGGGUAAGUUCCGACCUGCACG
rnacentral:rRNA from 14 species